rnacentral:tRNA from 1 species
GGCCCUAUCGUCUAAUGGUUAGGACAUCGGCUUUUCAAGCCGGUAACCGGGGUUCGACUCCCCGUAGGGUCA